UACCACGUGAGUAGUGCUGUGUGUACGUCGGCUGAUUGGGCUCUUGAAAACUGAGUAAUACAUUUAAAUAGUGCAAAAAUCUCCUUUCUUUUUUUCAUUUUCAGAACUAUCAGGUCAGAACUAUCAUGUUAUUGUUAUUGCUCCUAUACGCAGUCUCGAAGCUCGUAUGUUCCUACAAAAACAAUUCGAAGCCGGCCUGUGUUGAUCCCCCUCGCGCCGGAUUUGAACAAGCGCGGUCGCUAUGUUGUACGGGGGAAACACGAUCAAGGGAAGUUCCCACACUGGGCGAGAAGCCGAAGUUUACACCCUCUCCUGUAGAGCCUUGCCCUGCAUUCCUUACGUUGACAUACGCUACGAAAAAGGGAAACCACAUACGGUAGAGCUUCAGCGACGACGA